AAGGAAAAUAUCAUCUUCAGUUGUGAAAGACUUAAAAUAAGUUUUUAUUUAAUAGAGUAACAACAUAUUACGGUUUGGGGCCUAUAGCUCAGUUGGUUAGAGCACACGCCUGAUAAGCGUGAGGUCGAUGGUUCAAGUCCAUUUAGGCCCACCAUAUAGUUGAUAUUUCUAAUUAGCUCUUUGAAAAGUAGAUAAAUUUAAGGUUAAAGAAA
rnacentral:rRNA from 1 species